CCUGAUCGUCUAAUGAAGUUGAAGGAGCGCAGCGAUUUCCAUUAGCGUCGAAAUUGCAAAGAAGUUCAUUAAAGUAAGUGAAGAAGUAAAAUGUUGCAUAGGAUCUGCCUUCUCAAAGAUGCCAUACUCGUAGUUGCAAAGAACAGAUAAAGCUAGAAGUGAUCUACAUUAUCUUACAAAAAAGACAAGGACAUCCUGAGUGCCAAUAAUAUCCAAGAAAAGCAGCCACCAUUACGGUUAGAUCCUCUUGUAGGAGACCAGAGUGCUACAUGUUUUUCAGCCAACGAGCAGCAUUCUGAUCACACCACUC
rnacentral:lncRNA from 1 species